CCCCCGCCCCCUGCCCUUCCCGAGGGCAGCAGCCGCGGCCCGGAGAUAAGCGCUAGCACGGCACCCGGCUCUGCCUGGGCUAGUGGCACCGACUUGGGCGUCACUAAAGUCCAGGAAAAUUAUGCUAAUGAGGACAAAAGGCUCUCACAAAGGGGAUCUCUUGCCGGGCCUCUAUUUCUUAGGAAUCCUUUUGAGAAACCACGAAUCUGCUCUGGACAUUUCCAGUUGUGGGGCGAGGGGAAAGAGAGACAGGAGAAGUUGAGUUCCCCAGACUUUGGACAGUUUACCUCACCUGCCAACCUCAAUCCAGGCACCCCAAAGCCGAUCUGUGGGGAGACCUGGAUAAGGCUUUUCUCCAGAGAUCUCCCCAAGAGCCAACUGGGCUGUCUUUGGUUAUAUUUUUCGGCAGAAGUGGCUGAAAUCCUGGCAGCCAGGAGGGAAGUGUCCUGGGGUAGAUGUACAUUUGUCCCAGCAGCGAAACAGGAGGGCCCUGGCUCAGGUACACACAAGGGUGUCUAGAAACGCGGCUCUCCAGCGAUCCUGUGCCCAUUUCACAGUACAGACUCGCAGCUCGCCCACAGGGAAGACAGAUAAAGCUCUCACUCCCACAGAAACCGACAUCCAUGAUAUACAUAUAUAUAUGUUUUUUCUUAAUUAGUGGGAUGGAGGAACACUGAGCUGAGCAGAGGAAACGCACGGAUUUGCCUGGUAAUAGUGCUACAACUUUAAAGAGGAUGGUUUCCCUCCCAAAGCCUCCCUCAGCCACCCAGGUUCAGAAGCAAACUCUGCAAGGGUUUGAGUGUGGCAAAAAGAGAGAAAUGGAGAUUUCGUGCAAUUCUGAGGCGUCAACGGCGGGCCCUUCUCAAAGGAAGGUGUUAAAAAUAUAAGUAGUAUGUUUAAACUGUCAGGGAGCCAAAGUGUCACCUUAGAGCAAAAACAAAGCCAGGGGAAAAGGGAGAAAUCAAAAAGCACUCCGAGCCAGGGUGGCCUCAUGCAUACCAAUGGUUUUUGUCAUUUAUGGCUGGGCAAGAUUUAUGACUCGGCGCCCCAAAGCUGUAAACAGAGCACAAAACAGCAAACACUUGCUCCUUAUGGCAUAUUGCGGCGGAGCAACUUGAAAGGGGGAGCCCGGGCCGCGUAGGAGGCGAGAGCCGGCCGCACAAAUCCGCGCUCCGUGGCAUUUUCUCUUCAAACCUACCCAGUCGGAUGUGGCAUUUAAAGAAAGAAGGCGUGGGUCAAUAAUCAACCCGCACUUUCUCCUCCAAACUGCUGACGCUACUCUCACCGCCUUCUCAGCUAAGCCAGCUGCUAGAAAGGCCAGCUCUCCGUGAGAACCUCCCGGGGAGCGGACGGUCUGGGCCAAGGGGGCCAGGGCGCCCGGAAUGCAUACCUUUCCACUGGCGCCAAGACCACGCCGGGUAAAACGCGAGGACUGGACGAGAAGAGCCGCAGGAACCAAGGCAGAUCUGGGGCGGGAGCUCAGCUCGGGUCAGGGCCUCUAUCAACCCUCGACUAGGUGGCUUCUGGGCUGAGGGCCUUAGCUGGCAGAAACGGGGCUUCAACCUCAAGACUAGGAUCUGGAGUCCUGGCACUCAGAUUGCCGGUGCCCGGCCUCACGCCUCUCUGCUGAAAUCCAAAGGACUGGCUUUGCAGCAAGAGCAGGCGAGAUGAUUUUAAAACAAUAAUUUAUAGUGGUGGAAGGUUUUUGUUUGUUGGUGUAUUUUUUUUUUUAAGAGAAAAUACCGCUUGUUAAUUUCCACCUCCAGAAAUUACCCGCUGCUGCUGCUGCCGCUGUGGGCGUUCUAGGCAAAAUCCCUCGGCAGCUCACCCGGCUCCGCCAAAACCACCGAGCUUUGCAAUACUGAGAGGACCCCUUGGCUCCCCCAAUUCCCCAAAAUCCUUGGUUCCCGAUCUCUCAUCCAAGGAGACUAGAAGAAAACAUUUUUCAGCGCUAGAAGAAUAUUUGGAACAGCAAAGGUGCCUGUGGUGCCUUUCCACCAUUCAAGGGGGUGUCCUCCUGAACGCGUCUGUGGGGGCCUCCAGCAGCUCCAAGGCUGUGCAGCCAGGGAGGAAGG